UACGUAGGGUGCAAGCGUUAAUCGGAAUUACUGGGCGUAAAGCGUGCGCAGGCGGCUUUGCAAGACAGAUGUGAAAUCCCCGGGCUUAACCUGGGAACUGCAUUUGUGACUGCAUGGCUGGAGUGCGGCAGAGGGGGAUGGAAUUCCGCGUGUAGCAGUGAAAUGCGAGAUAUGGCGGAAGACACCGAGUGGAGCGGAGCAUCCCUGGG
rnacentral:rRNA from 1 species